UCAAAUACAUCAUUGAAAUUAUCUCCCUUACACUGCUUUUAAAUUAUGUAUAAAGUAAUGGUUAAUGAACAAUUAAGAUAAUUUAAAACAGUGUAAGGGAGGUAAUCCAAAUACAACGUUUUGGUUACUUCCCUUACACUGCUUUUAAAUUAUGUUUAAAGAAAUGCAUAUUUAUAAAGGAAGACCAGUAUGGCGCAUUAGAUUUGUAAAAUCUUUGACCACAUUUAUUUAUUUGUUAUGCCCAAUCUAACCGUGUAUUUAGAUUUUUAAUUUUGGGUCCAGUUUUCAAAUUGGUCUACAUUAAGGUCCAAAGGGUCCAAAUUAAACUUAGUUUGAUUUUAACAAAAAUUGAAUUCUUGGGGUUCUUUGAUUUGCUGAAUCUAAACAUGUGUUAAGAUUUUUGAUUAUGGGCCCAGUUUUCAAGUUGGUCCAAGAUAGGGUCCAGUAUUUAAACUUUGUUUGAUUUCAACAAAAAUUGAAUAUAUGGGGUUCUUUGAUAUGCUGAAUCUAAACAUGUAUUUAGAUUUUUGAUUAUGGGCCCAGUUUUCAAGUUGGUCCAAAUUGGGGUCCAAAAUUAAACUUUGUUUGAUUUCAACAAAAAUUGAAUAUAUGAGGUACUUUGAUAUGCUGAAUCUAACCAUGUAUUUAGAUUUUUUAUUUGUAGGCCCCACUAUCAAAUUGGUUCAUAUUGAGGUCAAAAGGGUCCAAAAUUAAACUUUGUUUGAUUUCAUCGAAAAUUGAAUUAUUGGGGUUCUUUGAUAUGCCAAAUCUAACCGUGUUUUUAGAUUUUUAAUUUGGGUCCCGUUUUUUAAAUUGGUCUUCAUUGAGGUCCAAAGGGUCCAAAAUUAAACUUAGUUUGAUUUUAACAAAAAUUGAAUUCGUGGGGUUCUUUGAUAUGCUGAAUCUAAACAUGUGUUUAGAUUUUUGAUUAUGGGCCCAGUUUUCAAGUUGGUCCAAGUUGGGGUCCAAAAUUAUACUUUUUUUGAUUUCAACAAAAAAUGAAUAUAUGGGGUUCUUUGAUAUGCUGAAUCUAACCAUGAAUUUAGAUUUUUUAUUUGUGGGCCCCGCUAUCAAAUUGGUUCAUAUUGAGGUCAAAAGGGUCCAAAAUUAAACUUCGUUUGAUUUCAUCAAAAAUUGAAUUAUUGGUGUUCUUUGAUAUUCCAAAUCUAACCGUGUAUUUAGAUUUUUAAUUUUAAGUCCCGUUUUUUAAAUUGGUCUACAUUAAGGUCCAAAGGGUCCAAAAUUAAACUUAGUUUGAUUUUAGCAAAAAUUGAAUUCUUGGGGUUCUUUGAUAUGCUGAAUCUAAACAUGUGUUUAGAUUUUUGAUUAUGGGCCCAGUUUUCAAGUUUGUCCAAGUUGGGGUCCAAAAUUAAGCUUUGUUUGAUUUUAACAAAAAUUGAAUAUAUGGGGUUCUUUGAUAUGCUGAAUCUAACCAUGUAUUUUGAUUUUGGACAUUGGACCAUAAUAGGUAAAUUAAAAAAAUUCAAGUUCUUAGACCACAUUCUUUCUGUGUCAGAAACCUAUGCUGUGUCAAAUAUUUAAUAACAAUCCAAAUUCAGAGCUGUAUCAAGCUUGAAUGUUGUGUCCAUACUUGCCCCAACUGUUCAGGGUUCGACCUCUGCGGUCGUAUCAAGCUGCGCCCCAGCGAAGCAUUUUAUUAAUGAAUAAAACUCCAAAAUUCGGAAACGGUAAAUCCAAAAUUUAUAAAAAACGAAAGGGAGCUCACGUCAAUAGAUAUAAACAAUUCACCAAAGUUUCAUGCA